rnacentral:tRNA from 1 species
UCCCUCUUAGCUCAGUUGGUAGAGCGCGUCACUAGUAUGUUGGGGUAUUGAGUAUAUGACGAGGUCAGUCGUUCAAAUCGGCUAGCGGGAA